rnacentral:lncRNA from 1 species
CGAUUAAUAAAAUUCCUCGAGGCAAAUUAUAUGCCUCGAGGAAUCGUUUAAAUCCGGAACCAUGUGCAGCGCACGGUGUUUGCGCUCCUUCCGCUGCCGCGCGUUUGGUUCAAUCAUGGAGGAAAACGAGGACAGACAGAGAGAGGAAGAAAGAGAUGACACGCAGAGGAAACGGCAGAAAGUGUCUUAAGUGUGGGACCAUUACACACUGAAAAGGAAAGAAAACGCCGUGCAGUGCGUUCACUGUAAGGCGGAGUUGGCGUUUCACAACAGCACGUCUUCAAUGCUGCAGCACCUUAAAAGAAAACACCCGGUCCAUGCAUUAAGUCCGCAGAGCGGACUGGCCACAACAAGGUAAUGUUCACGAUACUAAGCAGUUGCAGUUAAAACAAAUCAAUGUGAUCAAUAAUCAAGAAUAAGUCCAGUACAUAAUGUAAUUUAAUUUAUGGCGCUGUCUAAAGGCUGCUUCACAGUGUAAAUAAAAAUGUAACACUUUUAUAUAUUGAAUAAAUAUACAUUUGCUUGUCAAAUUAUGUUAGUAUCCAAGAAUUAUAUUAUUUCAGCCUAUUAAUUAAACAAGUAAAAUUAGAUCCAAAGCCUGGAAAUAAACAUUAUGACAGCAGUAAAGGCAUAAAUACAGUAAAGAGAGAUAACUAUGAAUACAAAUACUACUACUUCUACUACUACUAUUAAUAAUAAUAAUAAUAAUAAUAUAAAAAUAACCAAAACUAAAGGCUUGCUAAAAAAAAAACUAGAUAUGACUCUGAUAAAAAGAGAACUGCAAGAACAAUAUAAACAGAACUAACUAAAAGUUAAAAAAAUAUUUCCACCAUCAAAUAAAUGUGCAUGGGCUAGUUGAAUUAUCUUAGUAUAUAAGUGUAUAUAUAUUUUUUAGAAAUUAAACAAGAUGAAUUAGAUCUGCAGUAUGGAAAUUAGCGUUUUCUUAGCAGCAAAGGCUGUGAAUAGACAUAAGAAUGAACUCAAUUAAUAUGAAUACAAUUAAUACAAAAAUAACCAAACUAAAAAAAACUUACUAAAAAGCAAGAUAUGGCCCAGAGAAAACAAAGAGAACUUAAGAAACAAUAUAAAUAGAACAAACUUAUAAAAAACUAUUUACACUAUUGGAUUAAUGUGCAUUAACUAGCUGACUUAUUGUAGUAUCUGAGUAUGAUAUUAUUUUUUUUAGUAAUUUCGCAAGAUAAGUAAAAGCCAAAUAAAAUAACCAAACUCAAAACUUUACUAAAAAAACAAGAUAAUGAUCCAGAGAAAAAUAGAACUUCAUAAACAAUAUAAACAGAACAAACUAAAAAAAAGUUAUAAAAUGUUUACACCAUUAGACAUAUGUUAAUAUCAAUAUCAAUUGGACUCUUUUUCAGUUCUUCAAAGAACCAAACUCUGGACAGCUUUGUGCGGCGACUUCCACCGUGUUCAACCGAGCAAGCAGCUGAGUUCACCGACAGUAUUCUAAACAUGAUUGUCUCAGACAUGCGCCCGCUUUCCAUGGUGGAGGAUGAGGGAUUUCAGAAGAUGAUUUGUUGUCAAUGGUUUAGUGAAAACUGCAAAGAUCAUUACCAUAGCAAUUAAAAGA